GUUGGGACUCAUGCUGCAGCAAGAGAGAACGAAAACCAAAAACAGGUGCCCUUGUUCAUAGCGCUACCUGAGGAGGGUGGGGUGGUUCCUUAAAAUGCGAUGAGGGCAGGGGCGGAUUGGUAGAUCAGGCGGAAAAGGGUGGUUUGGGUGGUCUGCCUACUGCCUUGGUGGAGCUGUGUGCAGGGAUCAUGCACGGUACCCUGCUUUUGCUCAUGGCGCCUCGGAAAUGGCACUUGGCCUUUUUGCCUCUUAUUGUUCAUAACUGUCCCGGCCAUGCGUGCAUGCAGGUUUUUCCAGCCCCUCAUUAUUUCUUUGCAUUCUGUUGCUCUAGGAGAUGUUUGUCCAGGACAUUUGACCCUCCAGUAAAGGGUCCCAGGUCGCAUCCUGUCUCAAUUAGGUGACAAAAUGAUAAAGUAUAACAAAUGUGGAGAGUUAGGAGUUCUCAUAUGAUGUUGGGAGAAGUGUCCUUUGGGUAAUUAUUUCUAGGUAUAAGCUGGUCCUCUCUGGUUAAAGAGGUACAUUUUGUGAAAUCCAGCAAUUCCAUGUCUACUAAGAUCCUUUAGAGAAACUCCCACAUACAGGGAAACAUAUACAAAAUGGUCAUUCCAGGGAAAAACAGCCUAAAGGUCAUCUAGUGGCAGAAUAAAUACAUUGUGACACAUAAAAAUAGCAAAUGAUAAACAUGUGAUGCCAAUUAUAUGCAGUUAACAAACAUACAAAAUAACAUUACAUAAUAGACAUAGAGACAUAUGCCUUUGGUAAAAGUAUAACAAAUGUACACACAAAAUAUGCCAAUUUUAGAAUAGCAAUAACUUCUGAGAAAUUAGGGAAAGGGAUGGAAGCUGAAAAGGUAGACAAGGAACAUCAAAUAUAUAUAUUACAUUUAAUUUCCUUUUAAAACACUGAAGCAAAAAUGGCAUUUGUUGUAUCCAGGUGGUAUGUAUGCACCUUCUUAAUGUAUUAAAUUAAAACAUUAAAAUCUCUCUCUGUGUUUGGAAUGCUUUUCAAGAUAUUUUUUUAAAAAGAAACAAGCAUUUUGUUAGUAGAGUCAAAUAGAAUUAAUGUCUUUGUCGGUUUACUGCUUUUUGAAAUUCAGCUUAAUUUUCUUGAGUAAGGCAAAUCUAUACUACUUCAAAAUAAAGCCUCAUUGAGAUAAACCUUUUGAUGAUGGCAAUCUGAAUAAACAAACACACAUAUCCUUCAAGAAAGGUACUUAUUAUCUGGGUAAGGGAUUGUGGCUCCCACCCCAAAACUCAGCUGCCCCCUAAGGCGCUGCUGGGACCCACUUCCUGGUGACCAGCUUCUCCAUUUGAGGACUGGUUAAUGACUCCUGGUCUUCCGGUUCAAACAGAACAAGGGACAGCUCUUGCCUUCAUGAAUGGGGGGAGGGUUGACCCUAGGUCUGGUCUGUUGUGUAAGCAGAAAUUGCCACACUUUGACAAAGCACUGCUUAAAUAUUUUGGUGGGGCGGCCUCCACUUUAAAGUUUUUGAGGAGGGUUGGGGGGGGAUUAGUCAACCAGCUGCUAAAGCUCAGUUACUCAGCUUGUUAAGAGUUAACUUCACAUCUGGAUCUAGUCAGUGUGAGGCUGAGUGCAAAAGCCAACAGAGAACCAAGGAAUACCAUAGCAAGGGAGGCAGACAUGACCAGCGCCUGCCUUUUGUCAUAAAUACAACUGUCACCUCAAGCUCAGCAGGUUGCUCAGUGGUAAAGAAUCUGUCCGCCAAUGCAGGAGACCCAAGAAAAGCAGGUUGGAUCCCUGUGUUGGGAAGAUCCCAUGGAGUAGGAAAUGGCAACUCACUCCAGGAUUCUUGGCUGGAAAAUCCCAUGGACAGUGGAGUCUGGCGGGCUCACUGAGUCAGACAGGACUGAGCAUGGGCACGAAUUUCCUCCUUAAAGGUCCCACCUCCAAAUAUCACCACUCCAUCACAUUGGGCUCCAACUAACGAAUUUGGGGUAUUGGACGGGAAGGACACAUUCAGUUCAUGAAUAAGCCCUGAAUUCAUGCUUGCUGAAUGAACAAGUGAAUGAAUGAAUUCAGGUAAAGAAAGCAGACAGUUUCCACUGUUUUUAG
ensembl:lncRNA